CGGUUGAUCCUGCCGGACCCGACUGCUAUUUGGGUGAGGAUAAGCCAUGCGAGUCGAAUGGGAAACCUAAAUUUCCCAUGGCAGACUGCUCAAUAACACAUGAUCAACUUACCCUAUAGAGAAAAAUAACCUCGGGAAACUGAGGAUAAUUUUUCAUAGUUGAAAAGGCUUGGAAAAGUUUUUCAACCAAAGGGAUAAAAAAAAUGGUUUUUAUCCGCUAUAGGAUAGGAUCGUGUUCGAUUAUGGUCGUUGGUGAGGUAAUGGCUCACCAAGCCGAUAAUCGAUAGGGGCCGUGAGAGCGGGAGCCCCGAGAUGGGUACUGAGACAACGACCCAGGCCUUACGAGGCGCAGCAGGCGCGGAACCUCCGCAAUACACGAAAGUGUGACGGGGUUACCCAAAGUGUUCAAUUUUGAACUGUGGUAGGUGAGUAAUGUUCCCUACUAGAAAGGAGAGGGCAAGGUUGGUGCCAGCCGCCGCGGUAAAACCAGCUCUUCAAGUGGUCGGGAUAAUUAUUGGGCUUAAAGUGUCCGUAGCCGGUUUAGUAAGUUCCUGGUAAAAUCGGGUAGCUUAACUAUCCGCAUGCUAGGAAUACUACUAUACUAGAGGGCGGGAGAGGUCUGAGGUACUACAGGGGUAGGGGUGAAAUCUUAUAAUCCUUGUAGGACCACCAGUGGCGAAGGCGUCAGACUGGAACGCGCCUGACGGUGAGGGACGAAAGCCAGGGGAGCGAACCGGAUUAGAUACCCGGGUAGUCCUGGCCGUAAACGAUGCAUACUAGGUGAUGGCACGGCCAUGAGCCGUGUCAGUGCCGUAGGGAAACCGUUAAGUGUGCCGCCUGGGAAGUACGGUCGCAAGGCUAAAACUUAAAGGAAUUGGCGGGGGAGCAC
rnacentral:rRNA from 1 species